ACGGGAGGCAGCAGUGGGGAAUAUUGCACAAUGGGCGAAAGCCUGAUGUAGCGACGCCGCGUGAGCGAAGAAGUAUUUCGGUAUGUAAAGCUCUAUCAGCAGGGAAGAUAAUGACGGUACCUGACUAAGAAGCACCGGCUAAAUACGUGCCAGCAGCCGCGGUAAUACGUAUGGUGCAAGCGUUAUCCGGAUUUACUGGGUGUAAAGGGAGCGCAGGCGGUACGGCAAGUCUGAUGUGAAAGCCCGGGGCUCAACCCCGGAACUGCCUUGGAAACUGUAGAGCUAGAGUGCAGGAGAGGUAAGUGGAAUUCCUAGUGUAGCGGUGAAAUGCGUAGAUAUUAGGAGGAACACCAGUGGCGAAGGCGGCUUACUGGACUGUAACUGACGUUGAGGCUCGAAGGCGUGGGGAGCAAACAGGAUUAGAUACCCUGGUA
rnacentral:rRNA from 1 species